AUUGAACGCUGGCGGUAUGCUUAAGACAUGCAAGUCGAACGGUAACAGGUUAAGCUGACGAGUGGCGGACGAGUGAGUAACGCGUGGGAAUCUACCUUGUAGUGGGGGAUAAGCCAGGGAAACUUGGACUAAUACCGCAUACGCCCUAAGGGGAAAGGCGCAAGUCGCUAUAAGAUGAGCCCGCGUCUGAUUAGGUAGUUGGUGGGGUAAAGGCCUACCAAGCCGACGAUCAGUAGCUGGUCUGAGAGGAUGAUCAGCCACGUCGGGACUGAGACACGGCCCGGACUCCUACGGGAGGCAGCAGUCGGGAAUAUUGGACAAUGGGGGAAACCCUGAUCCAGCAAUACCGCGUGUGUGAAGAAGGCCUGCGGGUUGUAAAGCACUUUCAGUUGGGAAGAUAAUAGACGUUACCAACAGAAGAAGCACCG
rnacentral:rRNA from 1 species